AACGAACGCUGGCGGUAUGCCUAACACAUGCAAGUCGAACGGCACCACCGUAAGAGCUUGCUCUUACGGGUGGCGAGUGGCGGACGGGUGCGGUAUACUUCGGAAUCUACUUCUUAGGGGGGGAUAACGUAGGGAAACUUACGCUAAUACCGCAUACGACCUACGGGUGUAAGCAGGGGAUCUUCGGACCUUUCGCGAUUGUAUGAGCCGAGGUAGGAUUAGCUAGUUGGCGGGGUAAAGGCCCACGAAGGCGACGAUGGGUAGCUGGUCUGAGAGGGAGAUCAGAUACACUGGCACUGAGAAACGGCACAGACUCUUACGGGAGGCAGCAGUGGGGACUCUUAGGCGAUGGGCGAAAGCCUGAUCCAGCACUAUCGCGUGGGUGAAGAAGGACUUCGGGCUGUAAAGCUCUUUUGUUCGGAAAGAAGAACAGCAGUUUUACCCGGCGUUAUACUGACGGUACCGAAAGAAUAAGCACCGGCUAACUCCGUG
rnacentral:rRNA from 1 species